rnacentral:rRNA from 1 species
GAUGAACGCUGGCGGCGUGCCUAAUACAUGCAAGUCGAGCGAACAGAUGAGGAGCUUGCUCCUCUGACGUUAGCGGCGGACGGGUGAGUAACACGUGGAUAACCUACCUAUAAGACUGGGAUAACUUCGGGGAACCGGAGCUAAUACCGGAUAAUAUAUUGAACCGCAUGGUUCAAUAGUGAAAGACGGUUUUGCUGUCCCUUAUAGAUGGAUCCGCGCCGCAUUAGCUAGUUGGUAAGGUAACGGCUUACCAAGGCAACGAUGCGUAGCCGACCUGAGAGGGUGAUCGGCCACACUGGAACUGAGACACGGUCCAGACUCCUACGGGAGGCAGCAGUAGGGAAUCUUCCGCAAAGGGCGAAAGCCUGACGGAGCAACGCCGCGUGAGUGAUGAAGGUCUUCGGAUCGUAAAACUCUGUUAUUAGGGAAGAACAAAUGUGUAACUAACUAUGCACGUCUUGACGGUACCUAAUCAGAAAGCCACGGCUAACUACGUG